GACGAACGCUGGCGGCGUGCUUAACACAUGCAAGUCGAACGGAAAGGCCCUGCUUUUGUGGGGUGCUCGAGUGGCGAACGGGUGAGUAACACGUGAGUAACCUGCCCUUGACUUUGGGAUAACUUCAGGAAACUGGGGCUAAUACCGGAUAGGAGCUCCUGCUGCAUGGUGGGGGUUGGAAAGUUUCGGCGGUUGGGGAUGGACUCGCGGCUUAUCAGCUUGUUGGUGGGGUAGUGGCUUACCAAGGCUUUGACGGGUAGCCGGCCUGAGAGGGUGACCGGCAACAUUGGGACUGAGAUACGGCCCAGACUCCUACGGGAGGCAGCAGUGGGGAAUAUUGCACAAUGGGCGGAAGCCUGAUGCAGCAACGCCGCGUGCGGGAUGACGGCCUUCGGGUUGUAAACCGCUUUCGCCUGUGACGAAGCGUGAGUGACGGUAAUGGGUAAAGAAGCACCAGCUAACUACGUG
rnacentral:rRNA from 1 species